rnacentral:rRNA from 1 species
GAUGAACGCUGGCGGCGUGCUUAACACAUGCAAGUCGAACGAAGAUGCCGGAGUGCUUGCACUUUGGCAGACUGAGUGGCGGACGGGUGAGUAACGCGUGGGUAACCUGCCUUAGUACAGGGGGAUAACAGUUGGAAACGACUGCUAAUACCGCAUAAGCGCACGGUAUCGCAUGAUACAGUGUGAAAAACUCCGGUGGUAUAAGAUGGACCCGCGUCUGAUUAGCUUGUUGGUGAGGUAACGGCCCACCAAGGCGACGAUCAGUAGCCGGCCUGAGAGGGUGAACGGCCACAUUGGGACUGAGAUACGGCCCAGACUCCUACGGGAGGCAGCAGUCGGGAAUAUUGCGCAAUGGAGGAAACUCUGACGCAGUGACGCCGCGUAUAGGAAGAAGGUUUUCGGAUUGUAAACUAUUGUCGUUAGGGAAGAUACAAGACAGUACCUAAGGAGGAAGCUCCGGCUAACUACGUG